rnacentral:rRNA from 1 species
AGUGAACGCUGGCGGUAGGCCUAACACAUGCAAGUCGAACGGCAGCACAGUAAGAGCUUGCUCUUACGGGUGGCGAGUGGCGGACGGGUGAGGAAUACAUCGGAAUCUACUUUUUCGUGGGGGAUAACGUAGGGAAACUUACGCUAAUACCGCAUACGACCUACGGGUGAAAGCAGGGGAUCUUCGGACCUUGCGCGAUUGAAUGAGCCGAUGUCGGAUUAGCUAGUUGGCGGGGUAAAGGCCCACCAAGGCGACGAUCCGUAGCUGGUCUGAGAGGAUGAUCAGCCACACUGGAACUGAGACACGGUACAGACUCCUACGGGAGGCAGCAGUGGGGAAUAUUGGACAAUGGGCGCAAGCCUGAUCCAGCCAUACCGCGUGGGUGAAGAAGGCCUUCGGGUUGUAAAACCCUUUUGUUGGGAAAGAAAAGCAGCAGGUUAAUACCCCGCUGUUCUGACGGUACCCAAAGAAUAAGCACCGGCUAACUUCGUG